rnacentral:sRNA from 1 species
AGACGAUAGUGUUACGUGAUAACGUCGAU